UGGAAAUAAGCAAAGGAAUGGGCCUCUCAUUACUCCAUUCUUGUUUCCUUUUCAGGGAUGUAAAGUGUGGCAGGUUAUUCUGUGAUAAUAAGAAGUUUCCAUGCCAUUACAAUUAUUCAGAAGACCUAGAUUUUGGAAUGGUUGAUCAUGGAACAAAAUGCGCAGAUGGAAAGGUCUGCAGCAACAGACAGUGUGUUGAUGUGAAUGAAGCCUACAAACCAACCACUGUCUUCUCUCUGAUUUGAUUUUGGAGAUUCUUCUUUCAGAAGGUUUCACUUCCCUCUAGUCCAAAGAGAUCCAUCUGCCUGCAUCCUACUAGUAAAUCACCCUUAGCUUCCAAAUGGCAUCUAAAUUCUGCAAUAUUUCUUCUCCACAUUUAAUCUGUUUACCUUUUGCUGUAAUCAAACCUUUUUCCCGCCACAAAGCUCCAUGGGUAUGUACAACACCAAAGGCUUAUUUGCUGUCAAGAAAAAUAAUGGCCAUUUUACCAUUUGCCAGUUACAAAGUACAUUUAAUACAACAAGUUCUGCCUUUAGAGCUGGUGUAUUCAAAGUCAAUGCUUCCUCUCCCAAAAUUUCACACUGACUUUCCAAGAUGUAGCUGCUUCUAUCAAUAAACUAACUAUUCUCAUUCUG